CUCUGUUAUUACGGAAGGAGAAACCACAGCUAGUAACCGACUACACUGUAUUUGGAUCCCUGCCUACCAAGCUCUGAAGUGUGGAGCCUGCUCCUGUACCCUGCUGGGGGAAUUCUCUGGCCCAAGUCUCCUUUCUACACCUCUAAGAAGGCAUUUCUUCUUCAUGGUGACUCCAGAAAAUCACGUAGAUCUUAUCAGUUCUAAUUGGGACCUGAAGACUUGGCCACAGCACCCAGGCUUGGCAGAGGAGAUCUGGUGGGAAGGGAAGCGACGACAAGCCCAGAAGACAGCUUAUGGGAGCUGGUUCUCUUCUCUCACCAGG
ensembl:antisense Gm15657 predicted gene 15657